GCAUAAAAGAACAUAGUUUCAAGUGGUAAGUUAUGCUUGACAAACAAUUCAUACAAAUUUCCAGGGUGUAUUUGAAAAUGAAGAUAAUUAAUGUAAUUAAUAUGAUUACAUACCAUCUCAUCACAGAGAUCACCAAAACACAGUACUGGAAAUUAUUUAUAUUGAGCAUUAUAAACAUAUGAAAAUAAACUUAACUAACAGGUAAUACAAACGUUAAGGUAUGACAUGUUACAUUACUUAGAACCAUGUUUACCAUACUCUUCAGCUCUGCCAACAGCAUCCAUGAAAACAUCAAUUGUCCAAUCCUUUACGUCCUCCUGUAGAUAGCAUAUGAUGAAAACUUCAGCCACUAAACUAAAAAAAUUCCUUGUAAUUUAUUUCCAAGACAAAACUCUUAUAA
rnacentral:lncRNA from 1 species